rnacentral:tRNA from 1 species
GCCCGGGUGGCGAAAUAGGUAGACGCAAGGGACUUAAAAUCCCUCGGCCACAAGGCUGUGCCGGUUCGAGCCCGGCCCCGGGCACCA